rnacentral:rRNA from 1 species
GAUGAACGCUAGCGGCAGGCUUAAUACAUGCAAGUCAAGGGGGUAGCAAUACUACCGGCGCACGGGUGAGUAACACGUACAUAACAUACCAUAUACUGGGGUAUAGCUUUGGGAAACUGAAGGUAAUCCCCCAUAACAUUGCGAGAGGGCAUCUGAUUGCAAUUAAAGUUUCGACGGUAUAUGAUUGAUGUGCGUUUGAUUAGCUUGUUGGUAGGGUAACGGCCUACCAAGGCGACGAUCAAUAGCUGGCGUGAGAGCGCGACCAGCCACACUGGAACUGAGACACGGUCCAGACUCCUACGGGAGGCAGCAGUAGGGAAUAUUGGACAAUGGGCGAAAGCCUGAUCCAGCCAUGCCGCGUGAUAGAUGAAGGCCCUCUGGGUUGUAAAUAUCUUUUAUCUGGGAAGAAACAAUCUUAUUCUUAAGAUCUUGACGGUACCAGAGGAAUAAGCACCGGCUAACUCCGUGCCAGCAGCCGCGG